CAGAGUCAGUCAGGCAGCCUGGCGAGGCCAGGGCGAGGUCCUCAAGUGCCUGCACGUGCGGUGCAGUGCGCUGCAGUGCGCUGCAGUGCUAUGUCCGCGGACGCGGCGGGCGCGCGGCGGUGGCCUGAUCCUUCAGCCCCCAAGGCCUGAGGAGGCCGGAGGGCUGCGGGCUGCGGACUGCGGAGAGUCAAGCACCCCGGUCCGGUGCAGCUGCAGGAAACCGUGAACAGUUCCCGGAGCAGUCCAUUAGCCGUGCUGGUAAGGGCGUUUAGCUGUGGAAUAAUGGAGUUGUUGGAUCGACUCGUGGCUCGAUACAAGAAAAAAAUAACGAGCCUCUCCUGUAAAAUAUUUUAAGAAAGUGUUCCGGUGCCACUGCCAUUGGAUGUCUUGUAGAAGAACCACAACGGCCAUCCCGAUGGUUCCCCUCUCUAGGUGGGGCAUGACGUUUUCGUGCGUGAGAGGGAUUGCGAUUGCCCUGGUGAUUGCGGAAGCUGUGCCUGUCUGGAGACUCGAUUGGUUCCGCAUGAAGGGCCAGACCAAGAAGCCCCACAACCGACACAGACUCUAAAAUUCAACAUCUUGCUGGGCUCACCUACCGUUUUGGUUGAAACCUACCAUUUAAAUUUAUUCAGGUUGUUUUCUUUUGGAUAAGCUAUGGAUUGUGUGACACGGAAGGCCCGUAACCUUCGUGAAGUCUGGCUCUGGGAAGAAGGGGGGUGGGACUAAGUCUUACGUCUCUGCUCAAAAUGUAAAAAAUGUAAAAUGUACGGAUCUUUCUGGGGGCUACUCGUUCUGCAAUCGUAAUGGGCUUAUUCAACUCGUCGAUCUUUAUCUCUAAGUGAUCAGUUUUGAAUAUUCUUCUAAUAAAGUUGCAUUGUGAGGAGCUCUCUGAUAGUCUGUGUAUGCGAGGCGUUUCGUCACAGAGCGGAAACCCCGACCAUCGCUGUGCGGCGCAACGCCUCGUGGGACUGGGCGCCGUCUUCGCCAAUGCAGGGGUGGAUGCAGGAGGGGGAGCAAAGGGGUUUUUGCCCCCUCUCCCCAGAUAAACGCCUGAAAUGUAGGCAAAAAGCCAUUUGGCCUUGAAAAUGGACAAAAGGUGCUACUUUGCCCCGAAGGGCCGCCUCUGGAUCCGCCUCUGUUCCCUGAGGCCUGCGGCUUAUGCUUCACGGGGGACGGUACCGCCCCCGCAGUCGACAUUGUCAUUCCGUCUGUGUCUUUUCGAUUUGUACUAUACUUUUACCGUGACUUUUGAUUCUUUUUGGAAACUUCUUAUUUUUCAUGGUCUUAAUGUCCAUUUGCAGUACUACCCAGCAAAAUAAAUCAGUUCCUAUACCUAUA